UUUGUGUACCUUGUCCACCACUUACAUUAGACAAAAUAAACUUGUGCAUAUUCAUUAUGAAUUAAUUCAUGUAUUACAUGUAGGAAUCAAUUAUUACUUACUCAUGAAAUAAGACAUGAAUGAAGCUAUGUCAUGUACCUGCACUAUAAUGUUAAAGGUAUUGGUACAGUAAUGUGUUUAUGAAUCUGUUCAUUCAGUGCAGGUAAACCUUAUGAAUCCAGCCACAUGGCUUAGUGUUUAACCAAAAUGAUUAUUAUUAUGAAUCCUCGGGAAAGUGAAGGGAGAUUAUAGUUUAUGUAAAAAACAAAAAAAACUGUCUAAUCUCUGUACUGUAUAUUGUCUCUACUACUUAAUGAUAUGGCAUUAUGUAAUGUAUGCUAAUAUAAUGUACUGUGUGUUAACAAGAACGACCUAUUAACAAGUCAUUAUAAACAUCAAUCUUUCUCUUUAUAUACCAAAUUGACAUUAAAGCAGAUGCAGUAAAUGUAAAGGCAGGUGAAAAUACCCAGAAAUUGUACAAAUGUUUAUUAUUUAAUGUUUAAUAUUUCAUUCACUGCUGCCGGUCCCAUAUGAGAACGUGAAAGCGCCGGGUUUGUUUGGAACUAUUGAGGGUUACAUGAACCACGUGACCGCGUGGCGGCGAGAUCAAGGAGUGUCGCAACUCUCUCUAUCUACGGCUCUGGUUUCCCCGAUCGCUUUUGUUCUUGGUGGUGGUUUGCGUUUGCUUUCCCGUUUUGCUCCCUUCUCCCCCUAGCGGCCUGGAGCGGUACUGUUUUCGGAGGUUGCUGCGGUACCAGCCAAUAGAUCGCUGGAGGGCGGACCCCACACACACCUGCGCCUCAUUCCUCAUCUCAUCAACUCCUGCAUUUAAACGCCGGCUUUUCUCUCACUCGUCGCCAGAUUGUCUGCUUGCCAUACGACCUUCCCCCCGUUCCUGCGUUCCUGCCGUUCCUGGUUCUCCUGCGUUCCUGCCGUUCCUGGUUCUCCUGUAUUCCUGCCGUUCUUGGUUCUCCUGUGUUCCUGCCGUUCCUGGUUCUCCUGUGUUCCUGCCGUUCCUGGUUCUCCUGUAUUCCUGCCAUUCCUGGUUCUCCUGCCAUUCCUGGUCAUCCUGCAUUCCGGUUCAUCACUCCUGGUCAUCAGUCCGCCCUGCAGUUCCCCGGCGCUUCCAGUACCGCUCCUGCCGCUCCCCUCUCGUUUUCUGUUAUCUUUUUGGUUGUUUGUUUGUUUUUAUUAUUUGUUUAAAUAAAUAUCGUAUUAUCA